rnacentral:rRNA from 1 species
UUAAGCUAAGAAGAGCGUAGGGAGAAUGCCUUGGCAUUAGGAGCCGACGAAGGACGUGAUAAGCUGCGAUAAGCUGCGGGGAUCAGCAAGUAUGAAUUGAUCCGCAGAUUUCCGAAUGGAGCAAUCCGUAUGUGUAUGCACAUACAUCAUAUACUGAAUCAAAUAGGUAUAUGAGGGGAACCGCCUGAACUGAAACAUCUAAGUAGGGCGAGGAAGAGAAAUCAACCGAGAUUCUGUGAGUAGUGGCGAGCGAAAGCGGAAGAGGCUAAACCAUAGGUAGCAAUACUUAUGGGGUUUCGGACAGCAUUUAGUAUUGAUAAUUUCUAGUUGAAACGUGUGGGAAAACGUACCGAAGAGUGUGAGAGUCACGUAAGCGAAAGAGAAAGUCAGCGAGCUGUAUCCAAAGUACCGCGGGACACGUGAAACCCCGUGGGAAGAUGGGGGGACCAUCCUCCAAGCCUAAAUACUACCUAAUGACCGAUAGCGAAUAGUACUGUGAAGGAACGGUGAAAAGAACCCCGGGAGGGGAGUGAAAAAGAACCUGAAACCCUAUGCUUACAAGCACCGAGAGCACGUCAAAGUGUGAUCGGGUACCUUUUGUAGAAUGGUCCGGCGAGUUAUUGUAUGCGGCAAGGUUAAGUGCUUAAGGCACGGAGCCGAAGCGAGAGCAAGUCUGAAUAGGGCGAAUAAGUCGUAUGCAAUAGACCCGAAACCGGGUGACCUAUCCAUGUCCAGGCUGAAGUGGAGGUAAAACUCCAUGGAGGGCCGAACACACGUCCGUUGAAAAGGCCGGUGAUGAGGUGUGGAUAGCGGAGAAAUUCCAAUCGAACUCGGAUAUAGCUGGUUCUCUCCGAAAUAGCUUUAGGGCUAGCCUCGUGAAAGAUUACUGGAGGUAAAGCACUGAAUGGGCUAGGGGUCGAAAGAUUACUGAACCCUAUCAAACUAAGAAUGCCAGAUAAUUGAUUCACGGGAGUCAGACAAUGUGAGAUAAGUCUCAUUGUCAAAAGGGAAACAGCCCAGACCCACAGCUAAGGUCCCUAAACAUUGUUAAGUGGAAAAGGAUGUGGGGUUGCAUAAACAACCAGGAUGUUGGCUUAGAAGCAGCCACUCAUUAAAAGAGUGCGUAAUAGCUCACUGGUCGAGUGACCCUGCGCCGAAAAUUCAACGGGGCUAAACAAUGUACCGAAGCUUGGGAUUCUAAAGUAAUUUAGAGUGGUAGGAGAGCGUCGAAUACGGGGUGAAGUCAGAGCGGAAGCGCUGGUGGACUGUAUUCGAGUGAGAAUGCCGGAAUGAGUAGCGAGAAUUAUGUGAGAAUCAUAAUGGCCGAAAAUCUAAGGUUUCCUGAGGAAGGUUCGUCCGCUCAGGGUAAGCCGGGGGCUAAGGCGAGGCGGAGACGCGUAGCCGAUGCACAUACGGUUGAAAUUCCGUAGCCACCGAAAGAUUUAAGUACAGGGACGCUUUAGAAGUGAUGUAGCCGGGCGAUGGUUGACCCGGUCGUAAGGGAUCGAAAAUGAGUAGAGAAGUCAUCAUGGAAAGAGACAAGAAAAGCUGUAUGAAUAUCUUAGGUGCCCGUACCGCAAACCGACACAGGUAGAUAGGAAGAAGAUUCUAAGGCCAACGGGAGAAGGGUUGUUAAGGAACUCGGCAAGUUGACCCCGUAACUUAGGGAUAAGGGGUGCUCAAGUGAUUGAGCCGCAGAGAAUAGGCCCAGGCGACUGUUUAGCAAAAACACAGGUCUCUGCUAAAUCGAAAGAUGACGUAUAGGGGCUGACACCUGCCCGGUGCCGGAAGGUUAAGAGGAGAUGUGAGAGCAUUGAAUUGAAGCCCCGGUAAACGGCGGCCGUAACUAUAACGGUCCUAAGGUAGCGAAAUUCCUUGUCAGGUAAGUUCUGACCCGCACGAAUGG